AACGAACGCUGGCGGCAGGCUUAACACAUGCAAGUCGAGCGCCCCGCAAGGGGAGCGGCAGACGGGUGAGUAACGCGUGGGAAUCUACCCAUCUCUACGGAAUAACGCAUGGAAACGUGUGCUAAUACCGUAUACGUCCUUCGGGAGAAAGAUUUAUCGGAGAUGGAUGAGCCCGCGUUGGAUUAGCUAGUUGGUGGGGUAAAGGCCUACCAAGGCGACGAUCCAUAGCUGGUCUGAGAGGAUGAUCAGCCACACUGGGACUGAGACACGGCCCAGACGCCUACGGGAGGCAGCAGUGGGGAAUAUUGGACAAUGGGCGCAAGCCUGAUCCAGCCAUGCCGCGUGAGUGAUGAAGGCCCUAGGGUUGUAAAGCUCUUUCACCGGUGAAGAUAAUGACGGUAACCGGAGAAGAAGCCCGGGCUAACUUCGUGCCAGCCGCCGCCGUAAGAC
rnacentral:rRNA from 1 species